GGGGUAAGUGCUUUGUUUUUGCUUCAGUCAGUUGCAGGGUUCUUUGGGUGAGUCAGAGUCUCUGGAGUGCUUGGAAUUCACUUGAUAGAGGGAUAUUUAACAGAGGUUGCCAGUUUGCUCGUUUUUGGGACAGUGGGGUACACUUCUGUUUUGGGGUUAUAUUUUAAUCUCUAGAUGUAUCAAACCACUUGUGUAACUCUCCAGAGGACUAAAAAGAGCUUGAUUACACACAGCAAGAUGCUUGACCACAGGUGCAGCAUUACCAAGAGACUGAGCAGGAUCAUAUCAGAGUUACCUUUUUCAUCUGUAAAGGUAGCCCAGGUCAUAGGCAUGGACUACGCUGGAAACUUGCACAAGGGUGAGUGGAUGGCAGUGUGGACCCUGAGUUGGUGGGUGGAUUGUUAGUCUGUUUGGCCUGUCGGGCAGGCUUUGCAAGCACCUUGCAACAGUGGAGUACAUCUCCUGCCACAUUCCUGAGUCGCGCCAGACAUCAUCGGUUCCAGUUUCUGAAAUGCUGGAGAUGCUCAGAGCGCAAAAGGAGCAGGGAACGUGAUACAUCUCUUUGGGAUGUUAGCCAUGUGACCUUGGCUCAGCAUGGUGAAUGGAAGCACUAAGCCUGGAUCGGAAGGUAAAGUGGAGCCUUGUGCCUGAAGCAAUGUCCUGGCUAGCCUUUGUGUUCCUUGUUGAAGAUGGAACCUGCCUCCCAGCAUUCCCAAGCUAAGUUGGGGGACAAGUGCUAUGUUUGGGUUGGGGUUGUGAGUGGACCCAUAGGGUUAGGGUUAUGAGGGUCUGUGCUUUUAAGUCAUUGCAGCGGAUGGGGCCUUUUAGGAUUGAGCAUGGUCAGACAGAGAGAGGGGGUGGGGGUUCUGUCAGGUACAGCUUGAGCAUGUGCCAGGCAGGGCAGUUCCAGCUUGGUGUCUGGGUUCUGUGUUGUCUGUGCUGUGGCUCUUGGUGCUCGGUAGGCCCUGGGGAAGCUAUCCUGAGGGUAUUGAACACUUGGUCUCAUCAGAAUAAUGCUGAUGCUCAAUCGGAAGCUGAGCACCUCUUGUCUUGCAGUGGGAGCUUAAGGAGAUCAUUUUUUCUGUGCGUGUAAUCUUUUUCAAAUGUUUCCUGAUAUGAUCAUCAUAUGUUAUGCGCUCCUCAGGUCUUGAUAUCCUCAUUGUCUUCUUCCACUGGACAGAUUAGAUGGGCAACUUGCUAGCCACACCAAAGGUCCUAAAUGCUAGUUUCAUCGUGGUAGGGCUGAUCUGAGCACUUCUUGACUUGCAGUCACAGCUUAAAGCGCAGAUGCAUUUCAGGUCUUGUGCAUCAUAUUCAGUUUCAGAUCUCAUCUGUUUCCGUUGUCGCUGUUGCGGAAGUCAUGUGGGCUUCAUCAGGAGCUCUGGCUUGGGAAUUCAUUUCCAAAGCCUUUUUCUUAAGGGGUUUGCACUCCCCAUCCUUCUGGUCUCUGGUCUUAAAGGCAGGCUUCUUAUGCCUCCAUCAUCCCAGUUCUGGCAGUUGCUUCCAGUCACAGGUCGUGACAUUGGAGUCUCUCCUUGGGUCUACUGCAGAGCACCUGUUCUGGCUUGCUGUUGCUGUAGGGCUUCCCUCUGGGAGUCAUUUUGUUUUGCGCCUUGUGUUCUGUGUUUUGUUCAUAAUGUUUGUAGUGUACCUGUGUGUGUUUGGCCUGGAGCUGUCCUGCGUGGCAGUUAGUGAUGGUAGCUAACGUGGCAGUCCAUCGGUGUACUAAUACAUUCUCCGGACUGUUUUGGCAAAGACAUCCGGUCUGCCUCUGGGCAUGUACUGAAGGGCAGCUGGCACAGAGUCAUCUCUGUGGUGUUUGGCAGAUGUGGAGGUGGAGACUUGAGCUGCUUGCGAGCAGCUAUUUGCAUAGUGCUUGAACAGUGUGCUGGAGGAGGUCUGUUGAAUCUAGAAAGCUUGCAGAUACAGGGUUUUGAAUUUUUUAUUUUUAUCUCUUUCCCCUCCCCAGUAGAGGGUAAACCUUAGGAGGAACUGGUCACAGGAAAGAGCUCCUUCUGGAACUGUCAAGCACUUGGUAGGCAACCCAGAGACUGGCUUGAUCUACUUCCCAGGUGCUGAGGCAAGGGGGCUGCUGUUUUGAAAUGAUAAAAUUAGAGAUGGGGUCCCUUGUGUUGUUGAGGGAUGGGUGCUAAUGCUGGCAUCUGAAUGAUUAUCUUUUGACUGUUUUCAUUUGUUAAAGUUGAAACACAGUGUACAACAUGGGACUUCACGACCAGAGCUGCUUUUGGUAAGGUGCUAUGGCAGGCUCUCCACAGAAGUGGCUGAGGAUUUGAGAAGAGGUUACAGAGCAUCAAGGAGCAGCAUGUGCAGUGAUGGCUUCCAAAUGGUGAAGAGGUGCCUGAAGCCCUGUCCUGUCUAGCCUGCGCACAUCUCGCUGAGAAUGAAAGCUGCUUUCCAGUAAUUCAGAAAGUCAAGUUACAUCUCAGCCUUGAGCAUCUGGGGCCUGUGCUUUUGGGCCUGUCUAUAGCAUUUGGCACCUGCAUUAAUACUUUUUUGGCAUGUGUUUAGGCUUUUGGGGCCUGCGUCUUGGGGGGGAGGUUGGGGCCAGUGUCUGGGGGGGGUGUGCAGCUGCUUGUACACCUUUGGGGUGUGUCUCUGGGGGGGUGGGUUGGGAGCUGCUUGUAUACCUUUGGGGCCUGUGUCUGGGGGGGGUUGGGGGGGGUUGGGAGCUGCUUGUACACUGCAGGAGCCUGGGUUGGGGGGGAGGUUUGGAGCUGCUUCUACACCUUUGGGGCUUGUAUCUGGGGGGGGUUGGGGCCUGCCUCUGGGGGUGGUUGUGAGCUGCUUGUACACUGUAGGGGCCUGGGUCCUGGAAGGGGGUUGGGGCUGUUUGUACACCUUUGGGGCCUGCCUCUGGGGAGGGUGGGGAGUUGCUUGUAUGUCUCUGGGGCUUGUGUCCUGGGGGGGGGAGGGGGGGUUGGGGCCUGUGUCUUUGGGGGGUUGGGAGCUGCUCAUACACUCUAGGGGCCUCCCUCUGGCGGGCUUUGGGGCCUCCCUUUGAGGGGGGGAGUUAGGAGCUGGUUGUACACCUUUGGGGCUUGCGUCUGGGGUCCCGGGUCUGGGGCCUGCAUCUGGGGGGGGGGUGGGAGCUGCUUGUGGACAGUUGGGGUCUGCAUCUGGGUGUGGUUGGGGCCUGCUUGUAGACUUCUGCAGCCUGCAUCUGCGGUUUGGGGGCUUUUCUGUAGCGUUUGGGGCCUGCAUUUUGGCUUUGAGAUGUGUUUUGAGCUUUUGGGCACUAGCUGUAGUGCUUGGGGCCUGUGUCUGGGGUUUUCUGUAGCAUUUUGGUUGCAUGUUUGUGAUUUGGGGCCUGUAUCCAGGGUUUUGCCUCUUCUGUAGUUUUCAGCUUUGUGCUUGUUUCUUUGGUUGUCUGGGGUUAGGGGCAGUUUGGGGUUUGGAUCAUUAGUCGAUGUCAUUAGCGUUGGGGGGUAGAUAUGAAGGGUUAGGGUUGUGGUUAGAGUUGUUAAGGGUAAAGGGAAUAAGGAUUUUCGGGUAAGGGGAUCAAGGUUGUGGGAAUAAAAAUGUUUUUGCACAGUUACAUCAUUUAGAGGGAAGGAAGGUGGUAUUGAGAUAUGCUUGCAGUGAUAAGAAAGCUUAACAGACAACCUCAUAAAAUGCAGACAAGCAGAAUCCUUAGAGCAGUUGGGUGGAAAUCACGGUGUAAGAAACAUUACCACCUCAAAGAGGAAAAAUGGCAAGAAAAAAAGAAAAUUGACCUGUAAAAGGCCAGCAGCUGUGUAUUUUCUGUGAAGCACCAGAUAGAUUGUGAACCUGGAUUACCCAGUCACUGGGGAAACAAGGGAGGGUCCUGGUCAUCGAGAGGAAAAAAAAGUAUAUAAACUGUGUUAUGGAACUAGUAGGUGGCUUGUGGGAUGUCCAGCACUGCAAUUGCGAAUAAAAAAUGCUACUUCACUGAGAUCCUUGCCUGAGCCUAUGUUAUUGGCUACAGAGUGUUUCUAACAAGGUGUUGGGGUUUUAGGGUUUCAGGGCUAUGGCACUAGGGUUGGGUUUCAGGGUUAGGGUUUUCAGGGUUUAGGGUUAGGAUUUUAAGGUUUUUAGGGUUGGAGCUUUACUGGUUAGGGUUUUAAGGGUUUGGGGGUUAGUGUGUUAGGGUUUUAGAGUUUUUUGGGUUUUAGUGUUAAUAGGGUUUUUAGGGUUAGGGUCUUAGGGUUUUAUUUAUGGUCAGGUAUUUAGUGUUAGGGUUUUAAGGUCUUAAUUUUUUUUUUCAGGUUAGGGUCUCCAGGGUUAGGGGUUUCAGGGUCUUAAUUUUUUGGGAUUAGGGGUUUUAGGCGUAGGUGUUUAGGGGUUUAGUGUGGUAAAUUUUAUUCGGUUAGGGCUGUAAGGGUUUCUAGGGUUUUUAGGGUUAGGGUUUCUAGGGUUUUUAGUGUUAGGAUCAGGGGUUAGGGUUAGAUCUGUGGGGGCCUUAAGGUUAAGGGUCAGGGUUCAUAGGAGUUAGGCCUAAUAUUAGCAUGGAAGGCCAAAGUAGGAGAGUGGGGGACCCCA